rnacentral:rRNA from 2 species
AUUCCCCUAGUAACUGCGAGUGAAGCGGGAAAAGCUCAAAUUUAAAAUCUGGUGGUCUUUGGCCAUCCGAGUUGUAAUUUAGAGAAGCGUCUUCCGCGCUGGGCCGUGCACAAGUCUCCUGGAACGGAGCGUCAUAGAGGGUGAGAAUCCCGUCUUUGGCACGGACAUGCCAGGGCUUUUGUGAUGCGCUCUCGAAGAGUCGAGUUGUUUGGGAAUGCAGCUCAAAAUGGGUGGUGAACUCCAUCUAAAGCUAAAUAUUGGCGAGAGACCGAUAGCGAACAAGUACCGUGAGGGAAAGAUGAAAAGCACUUUGGAAAGAGAGUGAAACAGUACGUGAAAUUGUUGAAAGGGAAACGCUUGAAGUCAGUCGCGUCGACCGAGACUCAGCCUUGCCUUGGCUUGGUGUACUUCUCGGCUGACGGGUCAGCAUCAAUUUUGCCCCUUGGAUAAUGGCGAGGGAAAUGUGACACCUUUACGGUGUGUUAUAGUCUCUUGUCGCAUGCAAGGGUUGGGAUUGAGGAACUCAGCACGCGCCUUUGGGUGUCGGGGUUUUUGCCCACGAUACGUGCUUAGGAUGUUGGCGUAAUGGCUUUAAACGACCCGUCUUGAAACACGGACCAAGGAGUCUAACAUGCCUGCGAGUGUUCGGGUGGAAAACCCGUGCGCGCAAUGAAAGUGAAAGUUGGGACCUCUGUCGUGGAGGGCACCGACGCCCGGACCAGACCUUUUGUGACGGCUCUGCGGUAAAGCAUGUAUGUUAGGACCCGAAAGAUGGUGAACUAUGCCUGAAUAGGGUGAAGCCAGAGGAAACUCUGGUGGAGGCUCGUAGCGAUUCUGACGUGCAAAUCGAUCGUCAAAUUUGGGUAUAGGGGCGAAAGAC